AUUGAACGCUGGCGGCAGGCCUAACACAUGCAAGUCGAGCGAGAGGCGGACGGGUGAGUAAUGUCUGGGAAACUGCCUGAUGGAGGGGGAUAACUACUGGAAACGGUAGCUAAUACCGCAUACCAUCAGAUGUGCCCAGAUGGGAUUAGCUAGAAGGGGGGGUAACGGCGCACCUAGGCGACGAUCCCUAGCUGGUCUGAGAGGAUGACCAGCCGCACUGGAACUGGGACACGGUCCAGACUCCUACGGGAGGCAGCAGUGGGGAAUAGUGCACAAUGGGCGCAAGCCUGAUGCAGCCAUGCCGCGUGUGUGAAGAAGGCCUUCGGGUUGUAAAGCACUUUCAGCGGGGAGGCGUUACCCGCAGAAGAAGCACCGGCUAACUCCGUGCCAGCCGCCGCGGUAAUAC
rnacentral:rRNA from 1 species